AUGCACAGUUUCCAACCAAAUGGACUUGGCAUGCAAAAGAGAAAGAAUGGAGGAAAAGACGUGGUGGUAAAAAAAACCAUAGGCAGGAUUUACUAUGCACAACCAACAAGCGGUGAAAAAUACUACUUGAGAAUGCUUCUAAAUACCGUGGAAGGAUGCAGAUCCUAUGAAGAUAUCCGAACAGUUGAUGGGGUUGUACAUCCAACAUACAAAUCUGCAUGUUAUGCUCUUGGGCUACUUAAUGACGACAAGGAGUGGAAUGACUGCAUCAAGGAAGCAUCCCAUUUGGCCUUUGCUCCUCAAAUGCACCAACUUUUCUGCACAAUACUUUUAUUUUGCCCUAUAACUCAACUCAGCGCAAAUAAAGAGCCUCCUCUUGGCAGAGAUCAAACAUCUAUUGGCUAA
rnacentral:rRNA from 1 species